CUCUCUACAUCUCCAGAAGCUUCUACAUCAUUGGAGAAAAAAUCUGUGUUUUGAUCUCCACCAUUCAAGAACACUGUUUAAGCUCCAUCAUCGACUUGGAGAAUACAAAAAGCAACUAGAAACUUAUCACCGUCGUUCAAGAAACUUCAAGGAGCUUCAAAUUGCCAACUUAACUUGUGAGCUAUAUCACUUUAGUCACCGCCAUUGAACUACUAUAAAUAUGUGUUUUGUGUGUGCAGGUGUAUAAGUGCAUGAGUGUCAAGUGUAAGAGACUGAAUGUGAGAAUGCAGUCAAGUGUAAGUGUGUGCGGUGCGCACAAGUGAGUGAAAG
rnacentral:misc_RNA from 1 species